AAACCAUGCACCGAAGCUGCGGCAGCGACGCUUAUGCGUUGUUGGGUAGGGGAGCGUUCUGUAAGCCUGUGAAGGUGUGCUGUGAGGCAUGCUGGAGGUAUCAGAAGUGCGAAUGCUGACAUAAGUAACGAUAAAGCGGGUGAAAAGCCCGCUCGCCGGAAGACCAAGGGUUCCUGUCCAACGUUAAUCGGGGCAGGGUGAGUCGACCCCUAAGGCGAGGCCGAAAGGCGUAGUCGAUGGGAAACAGGUUAAUAUUCCUGUACUUGGUGUUACUGCGAAGGGGGGACGGAGAAGGCUAUGUUGGCCGGGCGACGGUUGUCCCGGUUUAAGCGUGUAGGCUGGUUUUCCAGGCAAAUCCGGAAAACCAAGGCUGAGGCGUGAUGACGAGGCACUACGGUGCUGAAGCAACAAAUGCCCUGCUUCCAGGAAAAGCCUCUAAGCAUCAGGUAACAUCAAAUCGUACCCCAAACCGACACAGGUGGUCAGGUAGAGAAUACCAAGGCGCUUGAGAGAACUCGGGUGAAGGAACUAGGCAAAAUGGUGCCGUAACUUCGGGAGAAGGCACGCUGAUAUGUAGGUGAAGCGACUUGCUCGUGGAGCUGAAAUCAGUCGAAGAUACCAGCUGGCUGCAACUGUUUAUUAAAAACACAGCACUGUGCAAACACG
rnacentral:rRNA from 1 species